GUCACACGCUGCCCGAAUGUUGCUCUGCGGUAUUUUCGCCCAUUCGCGGCGAAGCGCUUGCUUGAGGUGAUCGACACAUUGCCAACCUUGCUUUCCAAAAUACUCCAGACACAAUAGUCCAACGGAUUGGUAUUUGGAGAUUUUGGUGGCCAAUGUGCGUUGGAAAUGAAGCGAAGAACUUUAUUUUGUUAGUUCUUGGGUGGCGCGUGCUGAGUGCGAUGGUGCUGAGUCCUGUUGGAAUGUCCAAGGUCUGCGGCCAAAAUGUUUGCGUUCCCAAGGCUUUAAUACACCCUCCAGAAUAUUUUCCCUAUAAUAU